rnacentral:rRNA from 1 species
CACGUAGUUGGCCGGGCCUUCUUCUGCAGGUACCGUCAAUUUCGUCCCUGCUGAAAGCGGUUUACAACCCGAAGGCCUUCAUCCCGCACGCGGCGUCGCUGCGUCAGGGUUUCCCCCAUUGCGCAAGAUUCCCCACUGCUGCCUCCCGUAGGAGUCUGGGCCGUGUCUCAGUCCCUGUGUGGCUGAUCGUCCUCUCAGACCAGCUAUCCGUCGUCGCCUUGGUACGGCCGUUACCCCACCAACAAGCUGAUAGACCGCGAGCCCAUCCCAAAGCGGAAUCCAUUUCCUCACCAGACCAUCGCGACCCGGUGACGGGCAUCCGGUAUUAGGUCCGAGUUUCCGUCGGGUUCGUCCCGGUUCUUUGGGGCAGGGUUUGCUCACGUGUUACGCACCCGUUCGCCGCUCGUCCCCAGGCAACGCCUGGUUCUCGCUCG